rnacentral:rRNA from 1 species
UGGGGAAUAUUGGACAAUGGGCGAAAGCCUGAUCCAGCCAUGCCGCGUGUGUGAAGAAGGUCUUCGGAUUGUAAAGCACUUUAAGUUGGGAGGAAGGGCAGUAAGCGAAUACCUUGCUGUUUUGACGUUACCGACAGAAUAAGCACCGGCUAACUCUGUGCCAGCAGCCGCGGUAAUACAGAGGGUGCAAGCGUUAAUCGGAAUUACUGGGCGUAAAGCGCGCGUAGGUGGUUCGUUAAGUUGAAUGUGAAAGCCCCGGGCUCAACCUGGGAACUGCAUCCAAAACUGGCGAGCUAGAGUAGGGCAGAGGGUGGUGGAAUUUCCUGUGUAGCGGUGAGAUGCGUAGAUAUAGGAAGGAGCACCAGUGGCGAAGGCGACCACCUGGGCUCAUACUGACACUGAGGUGCGAAAGCGUGGGGAGCAAACAGG